GAUCCUGGCCCAGGAUGAACGCUGGCGGCGUGCUUAACACAUGCAGUCGAACGGGAAACCUAUUAUUGAAGCUUCGGCAGAUUUAGUUUGUUUCUAGUGGCGGACGGGUGAGUAACGCGUGGGUAACCUGCCCUAUACAGGGGGAUAACAACCAGAAAUGGUUGCUAAUACCGCAUAAGCGCACAGGACCGCAUGGUCCGGUGUGAAAAACUCCGGUGGUAUAGAAUGGACCCGCGUUGGAUUAGCUAGUUGGCAGGG
rnacentral:rRNA from 1 species